CAAUCAGCCAACAACCUUCUUCCUCUUCCUUUCUCUUAGCGGACAGCCGAUACCCCAGCUCAUAUCAGUGAGCUAUUUGGAGUAAAAGAAUGUGGCCAAGAAGUAUUAUCAACCCCAGGCGGAGAAAGGAAAUGAGUUCUAUCGAGUUCUUAGGUGCUGAGCUACAUGCAAGCAGAUCAAAUAUUAGAAUUAUGGGACUAGGAAAAGAAGCUUCAACUCAGAGCAGCUCCUCCCGAUAUGAAAAGUCGAGAAGGGACCCUCUACAUACUUGGCACGGUUCAAAAACAAUAUGUAUAUUGUUGGUGGCCAAACGUAUGUCUCUGACUACCUCUGCCCCUGGAAGUCUUGACGACUUCUUUGAGAAUUAUGCACAAGAAGAUGACAGCCUUUGGAUUAUGUCCAUAGUGUCUCGA